GGACACAGACGUCAGCAGCUGCGAAGAGGCCUGGCCUGGCCGUGCUGCACCCUCAUCUCUGCCUUUCAGCCUCCAGAAUGGUGAGAAAGACACUUCCUUUGCUUAUCAGUCACCCAGUCUAGGGUUUUUGUUACAGCAGCCCAGAUGGACUAAGACCACCUGCUCAAUCGUUUGUUUCUCAGAUGAAUAAGAACUCUCUGCCAGGGAAGAGACCUUCCCCAAAACCCCUCACGGGGGACGCUGGUUUUAGUGAUGUCUGCUUUCUAAGUGAGAGCCAUGAUUCAGGAUUGGAGAUGGUGUUUCUUCUCAGUUCUUCGUCCCACAUUUACUUGCUUGGCAUCUGCUCUGUGCCUGGCACUGCACCGGGCACCCUUUAGAUAAGGAUGAGCCCUGAAAAGUGGGAGCAGACGGCUUAAUGGAGCCUCGUUGUGACUCACCCCAGUGGGAAGGUUGAGGCACCUGCCUCGGGGGAAUCCACAGCCAAGAUAAAGCAUCACCCACCAGGCGUGGGGAUGGUCGAGCGUCACCAGAAUGAUGCAGGGUGGAAGGCACACGCCACAGCUCCCUCACUCUAGAAGGAUGUUUUUGAGAAGUCUACCUGCUCCCCAGAGGCAUGGGGCAGCCUAGUUCUCUCUUCCCCUCUUUUCUUUCUUCGCUCUCAAUUCCCCAUCUGUGAGUCACUCGGUAUCAGUCCACUAAACUCUUCUCAGCCCAUGUCAGCAGGAACCAGCUGGCUUUGUGGGGGAAAAUACCAACCCAGCUGUCUGUACAAGGAUGGUAAGAAUUAGAACCUUGGGUCCCAUACCUCCAGCUCACAUCUGGAGAAACUGAAGGGGAGACUUUGAAAUUUGGGGUCAAGGAAGCCUUGUAGCUUUUUGAUUAACAGCACGAGUUCUUGAGUCACCUGGCCUGGAAGAAAAAGCCCGCCUCGGCCGUUUAGUUACUGAUUGAUUUCGACCCAUCACUUCACUCACCAAGCUUCAGCUCCUCCUCUCUGACUAUAGGACAAGAUCAGUACCACGCUCCUAAGGCCAGCGAUGCUGCAAAAUGCAUAAUAACCUUUGGUUGUUAUUUUAGUGAUGAUUCUUCUAGAUUUCUCCUGAGAAGUCAUGCAAAACAGGAAUGUGAAUUGCAAAAAAGAUGCUGAGCAGGAAGGCACCAAAGAAAGCCUUUCUCCAAAGGGGAUGUUUAUUUCAGAGGCACACAGGGGGAAGCUCCACCAGCUGUUUUCCAGGAAAUCAUCCACUUCACCCAGGGUGGGGAUAUGGACAAGACAGAGUCCCGGCCUCCCUGGGAAACUGGUGUGAGGAAGUCCAGUCAGCAACACAACUGAGAGAGACCCCGCCGUGCCCAGUAGUGCCAGGCAUAGUGAAGUUAAGGUGAUGGGGAGGGGUGACCAUUGGAGGUGAAGGGACCUGAGAGUGGAGACCAGGACAGGGGAUGGGAAAGCCAAGUCCCUGAGGAAGGGAUGAGCUUAAUAAGUUUGAGGAACAGAAAAAAGGUGACUCCAGAAGGCUUGCCCACAGCUGGGUCUUACAAGGGAUGGAAGCCCUUAGACCUCGAGGAGGGAUCGUGUGGCCUCCUGAUUUCCGUUUUUAUAGGCAGCUUUGGAGGAUGGAUUAGCAGGAGAGGGAGGCGAGCGCUGGAGUAGGAAACCCAACUGGCAGCCGGUCCACCGCUGUCCAGCAAAUCCGGUGUUGACUCGGAAGGUCAGUGGAGACGGAGGGAGUUGAGAGAUGUGGGAUCUGCUUUGGAGGCAGAGACAACAGAAUGGGAGAAAGGAAUCCAGGAUGACGCCGACGUCUUGGGGAGGCACUGCUGAGGAGUGUGAGUGAGGUCCCGCCUGACCCCAGCUAGUGGGCUGCUGCCUUCUUCUGGCUUCCGUGAGUCAAAGGGACAUGAAAACCACAACAUGAGGUUUAACUGCGAAGCCCCGCUCCCCGCCCAUCCCCUUCGCCUCUUGAGUUUCAUUUUACUGGUCCCGUCCCAACAGAUGGCUCUUCUUAAAGCAGCAUCGCCAGUGUGUAAUUCUUCUUAAUGACAGGAGAGCCAAUUUUAUUCUCUCCUGGAAAUUAAUUUCUCUUCCAUUUCUCUCUUCCCCUCCACCCCUCUCUCUGUUCCUGUGAUGAUUUCUUUCGGAAAUAAUUCCCCUUGCACGCGACCUCCACAAACCUCUGAAUCCCCGCAGAUGGAGCAAGGCUGCUCUUGCGAGGGAACGGAGGGCAGGAGGCAUGUCCUGUGCUCUGCAGUUUUGUUCCUGGAGGAGGAGGACAUGGGGACAGCUCUAGGACUAAGGGUUCAUCUUUUCAUCUAUGUUUACUUCUCAGGAGACCCCAGCCCCAUGGUCUUAAAUUUUUCAUUGAAGUAUAGUUGGUUUACAAUGUUCCUUCAGUUUCUACUGUACAGCAAAGUGACCCAGCCACACACACACACACACACACACACACACACACACACACACAUUGUUUUUUUUUUUUUUUUUCUUCAUACUAGCUACUAUGUUUUUUGCCUCCUUGGCUCUGCACAUGUGUUCUCUACAUAAUAUUAAACAGUAACCUUUGUGUCUCCCACAUUCUGGGGUGCUCCAGACACACACACCACAUUUUUCAACCACGCACACAUGCACGCACAAGAGUGGAACCCGUACUGGCUGACCCAGGGCAAAAUCAAACAACUUUUAACUGCUAAGUUGACUUUACCUUUUUUAACACCUUAAUUGAGACAUAAUUUACGUGCCAUAAAAUUCACCCAUUUUAAGUGUGUGAUUCAAUGGCUUUUUAAGUUUACUGAGUUGUAUCCUGGCUGUUUUCUUUCUUGCAAACGGAGCCACUGGAUGAACACUCUCACCCCCUGAGCUCCCUCCCCACUUGGAAAUGUGACAGUUAAAGAGCAGGUUCUGUUUCACCCCCCCCCCAAGUAGUUUUUAUUCAUUCUGCCAUUUACAACUUACUUCCUGUGUUUUGAUUCUGAGCUGCUCAGGCCUACUUCUUAGAAGCCAAGUGGAUUAGUUUUUACACUGUCAAGAAGUUUCUCUUGUGUCAGAGGAGUUUUCUGGGUUUUUUGUUUGUUUUGUUAAUCUUCAGAUCUUUGCUU
rnacentral:lncRNA from 1 species